GCUGAGGCUAACCUGUGGGUCUACACCCCACAGUACACUCCUCUAGAUCUAGUAAGUGUACAAUAUCCGUGUGUUCUAGAGGCCUUAUUCCUAGUCUCUCCAGGUUCUUGAUCUAGAAUCUAGUUCAUACCUCUAAGUUCAACUAUCUUCACACGCCUACCUAAGUGCAGAGAUGGAGUUGUAUACUCCUUUUGAAGUGAAUGAGUGGGACCAGCUUUUUAAUGUCGAUGAUAUUUUAGAUGACAGGGUGCCUCCAUCUUCUGCUGUAAUGGGUGAAGAUGUUAAACUUGGCAAAACACCUUUCAAUUUUGAUGAUAUGUCUAGUUUUGAUAAAGAUGUUAACGGAAAGAGUGGAAUUGUUAUACAGGAAGGUGUCCAACCAGUGAUGAUGUCCGGAUCUUUGUCUUCAAAAUCACCCUGGCACGAGUCUGACAGUGGCGUCUCCGACACCAUCAGCUUUGCUGGAAGUCCCAUUGGAAAUUCUAGUAUGGAGGAAAUGGCUGUGGACCCAGACCUGAUUUUGCCCACUUUUGACCAAAAUGUGGAUAAUGCUGGUAUAGAUGGUGAAGACUUGGCAGCGUAUCUUUUAGGGGAGCAAGGUUUUGAAAAUGAUACUUAUCCAAAGGUGUGUUUGCCAGGAGCGAAUACAAGCCAGCUCAAACACCCAAAUCCAUCAGUUGCCACACAAUCAACAUCAGACAGGCCAGUCAGGAAGUGUGUGUCAAAGAAAGUUAAUGUAGUAGAUUUUGAAUCAUCAGACAGUGAAGGUUCUGUCUCUGAUGAAGUGCAAAACACUAAGAGCAAGGCAGGGUCAAGUUCGCUUAACUACUUCAAAGAUCCAUCAACCUUUUCAUCAUCGGGUAGUGACAUUAAGAUAGUAAGAGUACUGAAACCACCUGCAUGUGGUGCUGAUGCAAGUGCAGAUGACAUUAUGAAAGCUCUUGAUGAGCGCUCCAAAAAGAAUGCUCGUCAGGCCAAAGUCAACCGUGAGAAAAAGAAGGCUUACAUUCAAGGGCUUGAAAGUGACCUUGAAAUUUUAAAGAAAGAGAACAGGGACCUUCAGACUGAAAAUUGUCAAAUGAAGUCUGAAAUGUCCAGUCUCAAAGAAGAGGUUCACUACCUGAAAUCUGUUCUUGCUAAUGCUAGUGCUUUGUCAGGACUUCUGAAGAAUAUCAGUAAUGUGAAGGAAGUUAAAUUAUCGGCAAACAUUACAGGGAGAAAGAGGAGUGGAAGUGGAGAUGAUGAUCAUAGUUACAAUAUGGUUGAGAGUUGCCCUCAAAAACGUGCUCGUCUUGUCAAUGAAAAUUUGAAAAAAGCUGGUGUGUGCUUGCAUGUCAGUGAUGGUGAGGCAUGUCUAGAAUUCUGUGCUCACUGUGCAUCUCUAGCGAACAAAACUCACGGGCGUGUCAAUGCCUUGUGAGCAGUAUUGUUAGAGUGUAAAUGAAAUAGCCAAAGUGAUAUUAUUGCCUGUGAAGCAGAAACAGCUUCAGGUUCCUGUACAGCAUUGUACAGGUUCAGUGACAAAUCUAUGUGACUGGUGUAUAUAGGCAGAAACACAGGACUGGUUUCCACCUGACGUAUAGUGCAUUGUGAACAGUUGCUGUCAUUGCACUAUGUCAAACUUCGCCCUGGAAAGACAAGCUGCUGAUCGUGAACGGUUUGCAGUGACCAAGAGGAGAGAGGAGUCUGGAGACUGCCCGUCAACACCAAGUGAAAGAGUGACCCGCAGAAAAGAUUUUGACCAAUGAUUGAAGUCUUUUGUCAUGAUGAUUCCGUUUUCAAUGUAUGGGACGUAAUUUAUUUUUUUAUGACAUGUUUUAACGUGUAAUUUUUUCCAUUCUCUAGGUCCUGGCCACCCAUCUUCUUUGCUUUGUUCCAUAGUGUUCCUUUCUCAAAUUGUCGUUUGCUGAUUGGUAUGCGUGGGGCUCAAGCGUCAUAGUGUAUUUUUUGCUUUGGAUUUGGCGUUGCACAGGUGUGCAUUAGAAGAAUGGUGAAGAGAAGAGAGGUUGAGGGUUCGGGAGUUGCACACAGCUCUUGCACCUUUAUGGCUGUUGUGAUUCUGCGAAAGCUUCCAAGAAAGGUUUGGGUGUGUAAGUUAGAAGGUAUUGUAUGAUGGACACCGUCCUUAAACUUGUGGUAAAGUAAAAACUGUGCUUGCCUGGUUCCCCUGUCACAGGUUGGCUGGAAAAAGAGGUGUGACUUUUGUUUUGGCCUUGCAAUGUCAAAAAAACAACAACAACCCACCUACUGUUGCUUCCGGUAGUGCCAUCUAGUGACUUGGAAACACCAAGUAAGCACUUCAGACACAAGACUGCAACGAGUCUCUGUCCUUUUUUGGUUUAAAGUUUAAGAUGAACUUUAGUCCCAAGGUUAUACUCAAUGACUCAAUGGGAGAAUUUCCUGAUGAUAAAACCCCCGGUAUUGGGUGGAAGGCCCUCGGGAGGUAUCGAAGAAAUCCCAUUACCUUUUUUACUGUACAGUUACCAUACUAUCUUUGCGUUAAAUUUCCUGUGUAUGUGCUCUGGUGUGGUUUGAUCCUUCUUUCCGCCAAACUUUGAUCAUCCUUAUCUCCCCCCUUCUUCUUUUUUAUGUUUGUUACUCUCUUGUAACACUUCUAAUCUUCUGGUGCUCAUAUGAUCUUUAAUGCUGUUACAGGCGCCGUAAAACCUCUACUGAAACAAAACAAAAUUUCCUGUCCCCCUUGCUGGGUUCCGUUAGAAUUUUUCUAAAGAAUAAUCUGUAGUAGUUUAACGAAUGAAGUCUGCUGUGAUGUCUUGCUUGGAAGAGAAAAUGAUUUGAUUUGACACCUUUGAAAAAAAGAGCUUUGUAGCUGGUGAUGUAUGACCCUUUACACCUGUAGGAUUUCUUCCCCAAAAGUUCACAAAAUUUUGAAGUUACGUAUUGCCAUAAUUUCCUUAUAUUUGUUUUGUUUGAAAUCUUUAAGACAAUUGGCUUUUAUUUGUACUUUUUUUUGUUGCAGUUGAGAUUGUAAAAGGAUAUUAGCAGCUAAAAUAUUAGAUGCUAUCGGUGCUACUGUUAAUUAUAUUGGUGAAGUCCUAUUCUUUCAAGAAGGGUGAGGAAGGGUUUGAAUAGAUGCAAUAUGUAAUGAAUAGGUAUUGUUGUCUCUGUUUAUAUGGAAAGUACUCUGCCCUGGCAUGUUAGCAGUUCCUUUGUAUAUUUCAGUUCUCUGCAGAAGUUUUUUUUUAUUUCAGUUGCCAUACUGUCUGUGUCAAGAUGGACUGGAUUUGGGGCUGUAGGGUCAUCUCUUCAAGUCCAUGAACUGUCAUAGGGCAGUUGUGCAACUAAAGUCAUGGUUCUAUUUUUGGGUUUCAGACAGAGAGAGAGAAAGAAAAAAGAAAGCUGUAUGGUGGUGUCAAAAUCAUGGGGGUAGUAGUGCCUUAUGUUUUUGCAGCACAAACGGCACACAUUAUGUGUACAGGAUUGUAGGCUAUCAUGACGUUCUGUCCUUGCACUAACUUGUAAAGAGAGAGAUUUCUAACACGAAGAGCAUGCUGAGUUAUCUUGUAGCAUAGUGACCUUUUGUUUCAAAACACAUCAUGUCAGAAUUGGAGAGAACUUGUGUUUGUGUGUCGGCUAGUGACUUUUGCUUCAUGUUUCAUGAGCAGGACUGCCGAGCUCUGUUCGCGUCCUACGAAGUUAUGCUCACUAAGUUAGACAUUGCCAUGGCUGUAUUUCUUUUAUUCUGAACACGAAUAGAUUUCUCUUACUUCAAAUAUUGUGUGUAGGAAAAAAAACUUGUUUUAUUUUUCUCCAAGCAGACUGCAAGGAUCUUUUAACAUGCCAGACUUUUUCUUCUUCUUCUACUUGACUUGGGUGAAUGUGAUUGGGAGGGAUGGAGGGGACUAACAUUUCAGUGUUCUGUUUCAGAAGAAAAUUAUGGUGUGUUGAAAGUUGACGGAAGACUGCCCGGAGCUGUCCAUGCCUGCCUGAGUAGACUGGUACAAAGGUUUUUCCACUCCAGGGCUGAGUGUCUCUGUUUACUGUCACUGCCGCUGCUUCUUCAGCAAGGCUCGUGCUGUUUGGUAAAAGUUUUUGGAACAUUUGUUUAAAGUUAAUACCCACUCCCAUCCCCCACCCCUCAUAUCAUUUUCAUAUAAUCUGCAGUUUUUGGCAGCUUUAUUUCAAAUUGCAGACUGCGUUUGUUUGUUCACAAGUUAUGUUUCCUUGGAUAUUUCGGUGGUCAGUAAUUUUGUAGAGGUUACUCAGCCCUGGUUUACCACAUCUGUUUGCUUGCAUGAUUGUCAUGUAUGUAUUUGAUUCUGUGGAAAAUCUUUGCAGCUUUCUGCCCAUACAGGAAGUGACUGUUCCAGGGUCUCCGCAAGACGACUUUCCACACAGUGCCUCACUUUUAUCUUUCCUCUAUGUGUGUUUUAGAAAGACAGAAAGGGGGAACUCUCGUAAGUCUUGACCCCUGACAUGUUGGCACCUUGUUAUUGCCAUCUCUAAAUGCUGCUAAUAUCCUUUAUUCUAGCUCUUGUACACAUGUCAUUAUUAUUAGUCAUAAAAAAGGAUUUUUUAAAAGUUAACAUUAUCAGUUUUACGGUAUGAAAAAAAAAUUAUAGAACUAAUUUUUGUUGUGAGGCCCGUUAGUUUUCCUCUGCAAGGGGUUGUAAGAUUGUUGUCGGUAAGUUAAGACUGUUCAAGUAAGCUAAGCUAAAGCAGUGGCGAAAGUUGUGAGAAUGGUGAUAGUUCAUUAACAUUUUUGUGUAGUUUCCUUUGAUAAUGUUCUGAAUGGCUAGUGGAAAUAUGUUUUUGGACUGUUCAUUUGUUCAUAGUAAAGUGAAAGAUUUUGUACAUUAUAAAAAAAAGAAUGAAAAAGAUGAGUGGAAUAGAGUUCAUUUUACCAUGUUCAUGAAUGGAAUCGACUUUAAACCUUGGUUAUUUUUUGUAUAAUUUGUUUUGUGAACAUUGUGUAUAUAUUGUACAUACAGUAUGUAGUAUAAAAAAAUUGUUACACAGUACUAGAUGCAUGUACUUAUGUUGAAAGCAAAAAAGCUGAACCAAAAAACAAUUAUUUUAAUACAAAUUUUGAAAUGUA